rnacentral:rRNA from 1 species
ACCUGGUCUUGACAUCCCGGAGACCCUUAGGAAACUAAGGGGGUGGCUUCCAUCUGGAAGAAUCUGGAGACAGGUGCUGCAUGGCUGUCGUCAGCUCGUGUCGUGAGAUGUUGGGUUAAGUCCCGCAACGAGCGCAACCCUUGCCUUUAGUUGCCAGCAGUUCGGCUGGGCACUCUAAAGGGACUGCCGGUGUUAAACCGGAGGAAGGUGGGGAUGACGUCAAGUCCUCAUGGCCUUUAUGACCAGGGCUACACACGUACUACAAUGGCCGAUACAAAGGGCAGCGACACUGCGAGGUGAAGCCAAUCCCGUAAAAUCGGUCUCAGUCCGGAUUGGAGUCUGCAACUCGACUCCAUGAAGUUGGAAUCGCUAGUAAUCGUGGAUCAGCAUGCCACGGUGAAUACGUUCCCGGGCCUU